CUCAGUUAAUUGGUGUAGUUUUGUAAUCUACUAAGGAAAAUAAUUUUAAUUUCAAUUGAGA
rnacentral:tRNA from 1 species